rnacentral:lncRNA from 1 species
GAGGGAGCACGUGCGAAGAACUCAACAGGAGAGCCUCUGCCAAUUUCAACCGUUGGAAGCCUACCCUUCCCGCUGACCCGUCCAUAGCACAACAAACCAUGUACCUUUAGCAGCAGUUAUUGUACCUCGAUGGAUCUCCUCCGGUGCUCCGCCGUCCGUUUCCCUAAUACUUAUCUCCGGCGUUCGCCACUUCGCCCAUGCUUCGCCGCCGUGAGGUCUCUCACAGCUGAUACCUAUCUCGCGCCGCGCCGUGCCACUGCUACUUCACUUGUCUUAACCGAUCCUAAAUGGGUACAGUUUCUGCCUUUUGCAGGUCGAGUUUGAGCCUCCCAUUCCCUGAGCAGAAAGCAA